rnacentral:sRNA from 1 species
GCCAGGCAUGGUGGCACAUGCCUGUAAUCCCAGCAACUCAGGAGGCUGAGCCAGGAGGAUUGCAAGUUCAAAGCCAGUCUCAG